GAAGACAGCUUCCUGCCUGGGCAGAGGCUGUGGGAGGGCAGAGCCCCAGAGAGAAGGAAUGAGCUAACUGGACACAAGAUGAUGCAGAUGGUGUGCAGGCCCGAGAUGCUGUGCCUACUUCUGGAGUUGAAAUUAAAGGGAGGAAAUAGCUACUCAGCAAAAAUGCUGCAAAGGAACAGUUGGCCUUUUUGGAUGAAGGUGUGAUUACUGGAAAGGAGUACUGCCAGGUGAUAAAGUAAGAAGACAAAGAUGCAGACAAUCAAAAGCAGCCACAUCAGUCUGGUGAUGGGCAAGGGAACACGUGUCAAAGCCAGCUGACCUUUACAUACAUCACGGCUAACUAGAAAACCAUUUGGUGACUUGCUAGUUCCUCGAACUUCUGGGAAAGAGAAUGGUGUUAUAGGUGAGAGAAUGGGGUGAAAUCAGGGAGGUGUAAAAUAACAGGAUUUAUUGGAAGGAUAAGAUUUUCAAUGCAGUUGAAAUAGAGGAUUAAGGUGGGGGGGAAUGUGGCAACAGAAUUUUUGUCAUCACAAUAAACCAAAGGCAUAAUAAAGUACCUAAGAGAUGUUUUGCUCAAAAUUGUCCAAAAUGGCACAGCCAGAGCUCUCUCUUCUAGGAGUCUAUCAAGAAAAUGUGUACUGAUACAGAACAUAGUCAUAGCUGUGUGGAGGAGACAUAGCUAAAAUGCACAGAGAGCUUUACAUGUACCAUCAGAUUUAAUCUCCAUACAACCUGUUGUGUUGUAUCUACUAUUAUUUUCCCUACUUGAUUUAUGUGGAAACUAAAGCUUGGAAAGGGCAGGUAACUUCCCAGGGUAAAAGCUAACCCAGAAUUAGGGCCCAGGUCUUUUGAACUUCAGGGCCUAUGGUGAUGACCAAUAGGCGGUGCUGCUCCUCACUACACUAUUCUGUGAGUAUUGUAUCUGUGCCUCACUUCUAUACGCUAAACUGUAGCUAUCAAAGGCUAUUGGAUUUUUUAAAAAUUCAGACAUUCAUAGAUUUAAAAAAAUCUUUCCAUCAUUAUUAACUAAGAGUUGACCAUAUGCUUAGUACUGGGGUAGGUUGUUUGCUUUAAUUAAAGAUGCAGGCAUUAAUCAAACAUUUCCAUAUGAGUGUGUUGGCUAAGUUUGGUAUUCUAGUGUGAAAUGCAAAGUCUGUGAUAUUUAAACAUAAUUACAGAAUCAAAAUUGUGUGUAUUCAGAUGAAAUUUUUCCAUUGGUAUUAAUACAUUGGAUACAAGUGUAAUUUUGUUACAUUGAUGUCUAUAGUGGUGAAGUCAGGGCUUUUAGUGUAUCCAUCACUAGAGUAACUACAUUGUACCCAUGUGUGUAUUAUCAUUGUCCUAUUUUCAAAGCAGAGCAAUUGCUUUUCAGAAUUAAGUUUACACAGACAAGGAUUUUUCCAAAUUGAUAAUUAAAUGUCCUUGCUGUAGUCAGGGUCCUAACUUCAGUCAUGGG
rnacentral:lncRNA from 10 species